GAUUGAAGGUCCCAGCAGAGGCUUGAUCUGAAAAUAUGAGAGCUCUCUAACAUUGUAACCUUCAUAAAUAAAUUAAGCCAUGUCGUACGAUGCUUGAAUUUUGCUUUGUAUUUCACAGCAUCUCAUACCAUGGCUACAGAGAU
rnacentral:snoRNA from 1 species